rnacentral:rRNA from 1 species
GACGAACGCUGGCGGCGUGCUUAACACAUGCAAGUCGAACGGAGAGGCCUCUUUCGGGGGGUACUCGAGUGGCGAACGGGUGAGUAACACGUGAGUAACCUGCCCUUGACUUUGGGAUAACUUCAGGAAACUGGGGCUAAUACCGGAUAGGAGCUCCUGCUGCGUGGUGGGGGUUGGAAAGUUUCGGCGGUUGGGGAUGGACUCGCGGCUUAUCAGCUUGUUGGUGGGGUAGUGGCUUACCAAGGCUUUGACGGGUAGCCGGCCUGAGAGGGUGACCGGCCACAUUGGGACUGAGAUACGGCCCAGACUCCUACGGGAGGCAGCAGUGGGGAAUAUUGCACAAUGGGUGGAAGCCUGAUGCAGCAACGCCGUGUGCGGGAUGACGGCCUUCGGGUUGUAAACCGCUUUCGCUCAUGACGAAGCUUUGUGUGACGGUAGUGGGUAAAGAAGCACCGGCUAACUACGUG